rnacentral:rRNA from 1 species
UAGGGAAUAUUGGGCAAUGGAGGCAACUCUGACCCAGCCAUGCCGCGUGCAGGAAGACGGUCCUCUGGAUUGUAAACUGCUUUUGAAUGGGAAGAAUGUGCGGCUUGCGAGCUGUAAUGACGGUACCAUUAGAAUAAGCCACGGCUAACUACGUGCCAGCAGCCGCGGUAAUACGUAGGUGGCGAGCGUUAUCCGGAUUUAUUGGGUUUAAAGGGUGCGUAGGCGGCUUAAUAAGUCGGUGGUCAAAGGUAGUCGCUUAACGAUUUUACAUGCCAUCGAUACUGUUAAGCUUGAAUGAAUUGGAGGCAGCUAGAAUUUCCGGUGUAGCGGUGAAAUGCAUAGAUACCGGAAGGAAUACCAAUUGCGAAGGCAGGUUGCUACGAUUAUAUUGACGCUGAUGCACGAAAGCGUGGGGAUCAAACA